ACCGCAGAGCGCGUUCAGAGUUCAUAAUACACUCUCUUCUUGCAAGAAACUGUGUUGUCGGAAUGCUAAUGUUAGCCUAGCCUCAGCUUGUCAUGUCUUCCCUCCACGGCACCGCGGAUGGAGGUAUCCAGGCAGUGUUGCUCAAACUUCAGGAGGCUCUAAGUGAUGCGGACGGUCGAGGGGCAGGUCUGACAUGUCAGGACUUGGUCGGAGACUUGAGCCAGAAGUGCAUGCUAGCACCCACCGAGCAUGAACUGGGUUUACAGACCUCCCUGUUGUUCUCCAAAGACUAUGGACUCCUCUGUUUCCUGAGAAAGUCCUUGGCUGUUGAUGAGCUCCGGGACACUCGAAUCAAAAUACUGGGCUUUCUGGAGACAUAUUUGGAAAGAGUUUCACCAGCAGUCCAAGGAUGGGAGAAGACUUAUUCGAUUGACAUUAGAGACACAUGCAUGGUAGCUUUUACUAAAGAUAAAGCAGCAAAGAGUCGGACUGCAGGAUUGAAACUUCUUAUUAAGGUUCUCCACGCAACAAAAACAUCCACUAUAGCCGCAGACUUUAGGAUCAGCGACAUAUUCAACAAGUUUUAUGGCGAACUCUGUCAAAGAACCACGCUUCCAGACUCAGUUCUUGGGACAAUCUAUGAACUGCUGGGAGUCCUGGCAGAAGUCCACCCUAGUGAAAUGGUCAACAACUCUGAUAAACUCUACAGGGCCUACCUAGGGGAGCUCAAAUCUCAGAUGACUUCUGUAACAAAAGAACCGAAACUCAUGGUUGUCACUGGUUGUUUAAAAGGACUCACAGCUCUCAUGGUGAACUUCACCAAAAGUAUGGAAGAAGACCCAGAAACAUCUAAGGACAUAUUUCAGUAUAGCCUGAAAGCCAUCAGUCCAAAGGUAGAGAUAGGCCGCUAUGCUGUCACAAUUGCUGGGCUUAAGUUGCUUGCCAGACAUGCAUCCCAGUUCAGCAGCUGCCUUAUGGACCAUUACAGAAGCUUGUUUGACAUAAUGUCCAAACUCUGUAGCCACAUAAAUGGGGAGAUGAAGAAGACAAGCUACUAUGCUCUUGAAUCCUUUCUGAAACAGGUUUCACUACUGGUGGCUGAAAAUAUCGAAGAGCACAAAAGCAAGUUGAAGUACUUCAUGCAGAGGUUUUGUAGCGUCAUUAAGACUAUGGACUCGACGCAUAAAGAGUUGUCCAUUGCUAUAAGAGGAUACGGAUUCUUUGCUGCUCCGUGCAAGAAGGUUUGCCCUCAGGAUGUGGAUUUGAUGUACACUGAGCUGAUCCAGCGGUGUAAGCAGAUGUACCUCACCGAGUCUGACAGCGAGGAUGACAACUUCUAUCAGCUACCCAGCUUCCUGGACUCAAUCGCCAGUGUCUUGAUCCAUCUGGACAAGAUUCCCGAGGUCUACACUCCACUCCUGGAGCGUCUCCUUGUCGUUCAGAUCGACAGUUUCCCACAGUACAGUGACAAAAUGCAAAUCACGUGCUGCAGGUCUAUCCUGAAGGUGCUGGUUGCAAUGGCCUCGAAAGGGCCAGUCCUCUGGACCUUCAUCAGCUCAGUGGUUCAUCAAGGAUUGAUUCGCAUCUGUUCUAAACCCAUCGUGCCAGCAGAGAAUCAAGAGGGCUCUGACUCCGCCCAAGUUCGGACUGGAAACUGGAAGGUUCCUUCAACCAAGAGCUACCUGCUCCUUUACAAAGACCUACUGAGCUGUGAUCGUCUAAAGGAUUCAGGGUUCUUGGAUGAGGCUUUUGAAAAUCAGAACGCCGCCCUGGUGCCACUUAGUCGUCUCAUCUACGACGAGCUGGUGAAAUCGAUUCUCAAAAUUGUGGAAAAGUUGGACUUGUCUGUGCAGAAAAUCACACCAGGAGAGGAGGUGCCAGAGGAAGAUGCAGUGCACGUCCUGCCCUCCUCAGACCCCACAGCACAUCUUUUGCCUAAUAAGAUCAAAGAUUUUACUGCUUUUAUCAAUUUAGUGGAGUUCAGCAGUGAGCUGUUAUUGACGAAACACACAGAAUAUUUUCACACGUGGAUGUAUCCUCUCAGCCAUGAACUCAUCCUCCACUCCAUUAGAAACCCUCUCGUCAGUGGCUUUUAUAAGCUGCUCUCUGUGAUUAUGCAAAUUGCUAAGAGAAUAAAAUUUUUCCAAGGAGCUGGCUUACUAAAGUCUGCCCAUAACGACCCAAUGAAAAGUGCUUGUUUUGCACUGUUUGCAAAGUUUGGGAAAGAGGUUUGUGUGAGAAUGAAGCAGUACAAAGACGAGCUGCUGGCGUCAUGUCUGACAUUCGUCCUCUCUCUCCACCACAACAUCAUAGCUUUGGAGCUCAAAGUGUACUGUCCUGCUCUGGAGAUGGCUUUGAAGUUGGGACUGAGCCACGUUCCUCUGGCCAACUCUGCCCUUGACGCUCUGGAGGAUUGGUCAUCCAAUAUCCGCUUAGAAGCAAUGCAGCCGUGCUACAACGGCAUUCUGCCUCUGCUGGACGGAUACCUGAAAACCACCAGUGACAGUAAAGACAACAGUAGCUGGGAGGUGAUGUCAUCACUAUCUUUGAAAAGUGACGUUGGCUACAACAGAGUCUUGACUAGGCUCCUGAAGCAGUCCACUCAGCUCAACAUGGAAGAUAGUCCACUUGCCAUGGUGCGACUCAGAGUAGUGAAGCUGCUGGGUCACCUGGGAGGGAAACUCAAUCGGAACCUUGUCACUGUGGUUUCAUCAGAGGAGAUGAUGAAGAAGUUUGUGGCCUGGGAUCCUGAGAAAAGACUGAGCUUUGCAGUGCCUUUCAGUGAUAUGAAGCCGGUCAUCUAUCUGGAUCCAUUUCUGCCUCGAAUCAGCGAGCUAGCUUUGUCUACAAGUGAAAGACAAACCAAGGUGGCUGCUUGUGAGCUUCUCCACAGUAUGGUGGUCUACAUGGUCGGGAAAAGUGCUCAAAUGGUAGAAGGAGAGAAUCGUGUACCUCCCAUGUACAAGCUAAACAAAAGACUGUUUCCUGUGCUUCUUCGUCUGGCCUGCGAUGUUGAUCAGGUGACACGGCAGCUGUUCGAACCUCUGGUGAUGCAGUUAAUUCACUGGUUCACAAACAACAAAAAGUUUGAAAGUCAAGACACGGUUGCUGUUCUUGAGGCCAUUCUGGAUGGUGUCGUCGACCCCAAGGACUGCACACUGAGAGACUUCAGUGGCCGCUGCAUCGAGGAGUUUGUCAAGUGGUCCAUCAAACAGACCACUCCUCAGCAGCAGGAAAAGAGCCCAGCAAACAUGAAGUCUUUGUUCAAACGCAUCUACAGUUUAGCUCUCCACCCAAAUGUCUUUAAAAGACUCGGUGCUGCUUUAGCGUUCAACAGCAUCUACAGACUCUUCAGAGAGGAGAGUUCCUUAGUGGACCAGUUUGUCUUCGAAGUGCUGGUCAUAUUUGUGGAAAGUUUGGCGCUGGCACACUCUGAUGAGCGCUCUAUGGGCACUCUGCAGCAGUGCUGCAGCACCAUUGAGCAUCUGAAAAGAAUCAUCAAACAAAAAGCUCCCACUCUGAAUAAGAAAAAUGCCAAGAGACGCAUACCUCGAGGGUUCCUUCCUGAUGAAAAUCUGUGCCUCUCUGACGUUGUUUUGUGGUUACUGGAGCAAUGUGGCCGACCCCAGACAGAGUGUCGGCAUAAAUGCAUGGAGCUGUUCUACGAGUUCAUACCUCUCCUCCCAGGCAAUACUUCUCCACCUCAAUGGCUGGAAGGAGUGCUGAAGGAUCAUGGCAUCAGUUUCCUAGUCACCAGGUUUGAGGGUGGAGGUCUGCUCUCCCAGCCGACUCUCAGGGACCUAACAGGGACUUUCAGUGUCCGAGUCACCCUGCAGUGGAUGGACCUGCUGCUUGCUGCCCUGGACUGCUACAACACCUUCAUUAGCAUGCAUAUAAUCAAACCUGAUCACAUUCUUCGUUCUAAAGAUGAAUCCAGCUUUCUGAAAGCAAUACACUUCUUUCUGACUGAGCUUGCAACCCAUGACAUUGCUGCAGCCGAGAGUUGUUUCCCUGUCGGUGACAAGGUCUCCCACUUCAGCCCGCAAGAAGUUGACCAAUACAACUACAGCAAGUGCACCAUCACUGUCCGCCUGCUGGAGUUUGCAACCAUGAUCCUGGUGAAAGGUGGCCAGGAGUUCUGGAAGGUACUGGAUAAAGAUGUAUUUAGCUCAGAUUUUUUUGAGCUGACUGCGAGGGUGGUGUGCGAGCCUUCCUCUGUGGGAUUCAACAUGGCCGACGUGGAGGUGAUGAAGAACCUUCCAGACGUGUGUGUUCCUCUUCUCAAAGCUCUGCUGACGUCACCUCACUGUACACGCCUUGAGUCCAGCUUGAGGUCAAAAAUCUCGCGCCAAAGCGUGGAGGAGUUGUGCACAGUUGACCUGUACGAUCCCAGCAGUAUGAGUCGUCAUGAACAGACGCAAAUAGUUCUGUCUUCUUGUAAGCAGAUGUACAAAGCCGGUGCCCUCCCCUCAAUCCUGCAGAGUCAGGAUGCAGCUUAUGCCAGAUCUCUUGGUUCUCGACUUCUGAUAACUGUGUAUAAAGCGAUAGCUCCUGGUGAAGAGCGGAAAGCGCUUCCAUCCUUGGAUGUUAACACCAAAACACUCGCUGAUGGACUUCUCCAACUUGCUUUUUCUCUCAGUCAGCAGAGUGAGCAGCUGGUGGACUUGUUGUUGAACACCAUCAUGCUUUCUGUGCCUCUCUCUGGAACACACAGCAACAACUUCUUAAAUUUCUCACAUGGAGAAUAUUUCUACAGCCUCUUCAAUCUCACCAUCAACACAGAGCUGCUAAAGAAUCUGGAGACAACAAUGCCACGUCUCAUGGUGGCAGCAUCCCAGAAUCCUGUCAUGGUGAGUGUGCUACUCAAUGGCAUGCUGGAUCACAGCUUCCGAGAGCGUGCAGUACGGAAAUCUCAAGGGAAGAAGUUGGUAGACAUUGUGCUGAGCAAAUGGAAGUGUCUAGAAACAUGGUGGGAGGGUCAGUCAUCCACCCCAGAGAGUAAAACUGCGACGCUCCUGCUGCUUUCUAAACUCUUACAGAUUGAUUCCUCUGUCUGUUCCAAUAUCAGCCACGAAGGGUUCAAACCAGUCUUCUCCACUUUCACUCUUCUGUUGGUCGACGUAACUCUGCCGCUCAAUCUGAAGAGUCAUGCCCUGCUGGUUUUGCCCUUCUUCACUACCCUUCCAGAGGAGAAGCUGGCUGACCUGCAGAGGGCGCUAGACUCUCUGGUGGCUUCUCACUUCCCAAUGCAGUCAGAUGAGUUUGCAAAGGGCUCACUACACCGAAACAACUACAUGGACUGUGUCCGAAAGUUGCUGGAUGCUCUGGAACUUUCCCAGAGUCCUCUUCUGCUCAAAUUGAUGGCAAGAAUUUUGUGUCGAGACAGAAAACAUAUCAUGGAGGAGCAAUUCCAAUCCUGCUUCCAGAGAAUUGCCAAGAGGUCAAGCCAAGAUCGCCAGCUUGAACUCCUCAAUGCGGUGUAUGGAAUGUUCCAGCAGGGCGAUGUUGCUCUGAGCUGGAUGCUGCAGGCAUUGAUGGAGAGAGUUCUUCUUCCUCUCGCCUCCCACUGCAGCGCCACAGCCUUGGUCGACUUUUUUGUGACCAAUGUAUCUGAUAUUCUCACACUACUGCUCAGCCGAUUUACAAAGUCUAGUGAGCCCGCUUUUGAGGUGCAACUGUUUAAGAAGAGCAGCUGCUAUAAGCUGAUGGAGCUCUUGUAUUCCCGACUUCCUAAAGAAGAAGUUUAUUCCAAAGAUUCCCGCAUCAACAAAGCGUACUGUCGCUCAGAGAAGACGGAAGGAAAUGAGCUAUCCAAGACACUGAUCAAGUCUUGCUUCGAAGCCUUCACAGAGAACAUGGCUGGUGAGAUGCAGCUGCUUGAACUGAGGAGACGGUUUCACUGUGCUGCCUACAAUUGUGCCAUUGCUGCCAUCAGCUGCAGCUUCAGUGAGGCCAAGUUCUACCAAGGCUUCCUCUUUACUGAGAAACCUGACAAGAAUCAGUUUAUUUUAGAAAAUCUCAUCGAUGUGGCAAGAGUCUACAACUUCCCAAUAGAAAUUGAGGUCCCCCUUGAAAGAAAGAGGAAAUAUAUCAACAUUCGAAAAGAAGCCAGUGACGAGAAUGGAGACUCUCCGGUGUAUCUGUCAUCUCAGUCAUACAUGGCCGACAGCAGUCUGAGUGAGGAAAUGAGCCAAUUUGAUUUUUCUACAGGAGUGCAAAGCUUUUCCUACAACUCACAAAACCCAGAGGGAAAAAGACGGGGCGUCGUUAAGAAGGAAAACCAGGAGGUCACUCCCCCACUGGAGACGCUCGACCUAGAAAUGGAUGAACUGAAUCAACACGAAUGCAUGACAGCGAUGACUGCCCUCAUUGGACACAUGCAGAGGAGCAACAUCACACCUAAAGUUGACGAGACCAGUGCUGCUCCUGAGCUCCCUCCCUGGAUGAAAUACUUUCAUGGAAAACUUGCAAACCCGGCCACAACUCUGAACGUUCGACUCUUCAUCGCCAAACUGAUCAUCAACACUGAAGAGGUGUUCCGGCCGUACGCUAAACACUGGCUUGGGCCGCUCGUGCAGUUGGUCGUCUCUGGCAAGAAUGGUGGCGAGGGAAUCCAUUUCAUGGUUGUGGAUGUUGUGGUCACCGUGCUGUCCUGGACGAGCGUUGCCAGCCCCAAGGAUAACCCCAGAGAUGAAGUGCUGGCCAACAGACUGCUGGAGUUCCUGAUGAAGCACUGCUUUCAUUCCAAAAGGGCUGUUUUCCGCCAUAAUUUGGAGAUAAUCCGGACUUUAGUGGAGUGUUGGAAGGACUGUCUUCAUGUUCCAUACAGUCUGAUAUUCGAGCGAUUUAGUGGCACCGACAAGGAUAGCACAGACAACUCUGUGGGUCUCCAGCUUCUGGGAAUAAUCCUGGCGAACAACCUUCCUGCCUACAAUGCCUCCUGUGGCAUUGACUACGACCGGUACGUUCAAUCAUUGACCACCAACUUGACCUUCACAAGGUACAAAGAUGUUUAUGCGGCAGCUGCUGAGAUUAUUGGACUUGUUUUAAAGAACAUGACAGAAGACCAGUAUCACACUGAACUCCUCGACCUUGCUGCAAGCAAAAUAACACAUCUUAAGAAAAAAGAACUGGAUGACAAGUUUAUCAUUUGUGUGAACAAAGUCUCGAAGCACUUUCCACCUUUUAUGGAUCGGUUUGUCAACUAUGUUUUCUACCUUCUGCCAAAGUUACAUGGCAUCCUGAAGACUCACUGUUUGGAGUGUGUCUUGACCCGUGCUGACGACAUACCGGACAUAUUUCUGCAGCUUAAGACUACUGGUUUUAUUCAGAUGAUGAGCCACAGGGAUGAGGCAAGACAGAAAGUUUGUCUCGACAUCGUCCACAAGAUCCUUGCCCGUCUGACUCCCACUGAGCUUCAAGAGCUCCUCUCACCGGUGGCCACGUUUUACACGCACCCCUCACCAGUGUGCAGGGAACGAAUGUACGACAUCCUCAUGUGGAUCCAGGACAACUACAGCGAUGCAGAGAGCAUGCAGGACAACACCUCGAUUCAAGUUCUGAAUGCUGCCAAGGAGACCCUUCUUCAAGGUCUGACUGAAGAAAAUCCAGGUCUCCAGCUUUAUGUUCGCAACUUCUGGAGUCAGGAAAAGCGUUUGCCCACGGCCACCCUUGACAGAAUGCUGACAGUACUCCAUUCCCUCUACUCGGUUCACAUCGAAAGAGGUUUCUUGAGCUUGGCGACCAAUCUCCUCCUGGAAACCACCAGCCAGAGUCCCGACUUCCAGCGGGACAUGUUUGAGUAUCCGUUGUCAGAAUGCACCUUCCAGGACUAUGUGAUCGAUUCCAACUGGCGCUUCAGAAGCACCGUGAUGACACCAAUGUUUGUUGAAACCCAAAGUUCUCAAGGUACGGAGAGUGUGGUCGCCACCCAGUCCGGUUCCAUGAAGGGGAAGCUUCGUGCCACUCAGACCACAUUUGAGUUCAGUCAAACACAAGCACCAGGUCGACGGACGGCGUACAACUGGCUGACCGGCAGCAGCGUGGACACACUCGCUGAGUACUCUCUGGGCUCUGAGUCUUUGUCAUCAUUGAUGGCGUUUGACAAGAAAGGGGCUCGGCCAGCGACAGCUAGAAAACCAUUGGGGGAAGGAUUUGGGCUGAGGCGCCACACUGCUGCAUCUGAUGAGGUGGACAGUCGCACCAGAGCUGCAAAUGAGCAAAGAAACAACAUCCUCCGGCUGAAACGCAGGUUUCUAAAGGACCAGGAGAAAGUCAGCCUGCAUUUUGCAAAAAAGGAGAUCCAACAACAAAAACAAAAAAAGAUUGAAAUCGCUGACCAACAGUUGCGGAAAGAGGCUCAAGUGACUCUUUACCGUAGCUACAGAGUCGGAGAUUUUCCUGACAUCCAAAUACCCUACAGUAACCUCAUCACUCCCCUGCAAGCACUGGCACAGAAAGAUCCGAUUCUGGCCAAACAACUCUUCAGCUCACUGUUUGCUGGCAUCAUCCAAGAAAUGGAGAAGCAAAAGAGAUCUGAGAUGGGCAGAAUCAAAGAGGAGCUGAGAUGCAAGCUGAACUCUUUUUUGAGCAACAGUACACUCUGUUUCCCUCCGUUCAUAGCUUGUGUCCAGGACAUGUGCUAUCAGCACAAAGAGCUGCUGCAGAUCGACCCGGUGGCCAUAAGCUCCACUGGCCUUGUGAGUCUCCAGCAGCCAUCUGGGAUUCUGCUGCUGGAAGAAGGUCUGCUGCACAUUGGCAUCCCUGAGGAACCUCCUGCCAAACGCUCACGGGGCCGCAAGGAAAUACCUCCAGAUACAAAUAAAUGGAUUCAUCUCGCAAGGCUGUACAGAUCACUAGAGGACUAUGAUGUUGUGCGAGGCAUCUUCGCUGGAAAAGUGGGGACCAAGUCAAUCACCUGCAAGGCACUUCAGGCUGAAGCAAACUCUGACUUUGCUGAAGCUGUGAAGCUUUAUAACGAGGCUCUAAACACAGAGGUUUGGUCUGAUGGUGACCCCACGGAGUCUGAAAAAGAUUUUUGGGAAAGGGCUGCAAUGGAGGCAUAUAGUAAUUUGACCGAGUGGAAAUCCCUCCAGUAUUGUUCCACUGUCUGCAUUGAUGAAAGCUCACCGCCAAACCUGGAGAAGAUGUGGUCAGAGCCCCUCUAUCAGGAAUUGUAUUUGCAGCACAUGAUUCGCAGCAUGCUGAAGCAGCUUCAACUGGGAGAAACAGACCAAACACUUCUGUCCUUUAUCGACAAUGCUAUGACGGUGGACAAGCAAAAGAAACUGCUGGAAAGUCAGUACAGCCAAGAGCUGAGCCUGCUCUACAUCCUGCAGGAGGACUAUGACCGUGCCAAGUACUACACCAAGUCUGCCAUGCAGCUCUUCAUGCAGAAAUACUCAAGCGUAGAUACACUGCUGACUCAAAGUCGCCUGACCAUCCUGCAGUCGGUGCAGGCCCUGACUGAAAUCCAGGACUUCCUGCACUUCAUCAAAGGGGAUGUCUCUGUACCUUCUGUCAAGAGACUGAUCAGAUUGUGGAAUGAGCGAUACCCUGAUGCCAAAACUGACCCUGUAAACGUGUGGGAUGACAUCAUCACCUCGCGAUGUUUCUUCCUGGAUAAGAUCAGGCAAAAGCUGGGAGAUCCCUCAGCUGCAGAUAGCAUGGAGGUCGAUGAUGCUGAUGAAACGGAUGACAUCAACUCGUUGGUCAGCGACUGCAAGUUCAAUAUGAAGCUUCAAAUGGCCGAUAGUGCGUGGAAGCAGAAUAACUUCCCAGUUGCCAACAAGAUUCUUCGGGGACUUCACAGAGAAGCCAAAACAAACAGAGGCUCUUUUCUGCGGUGGGUUCACAGUUUCAGCCGCUACAGAUUGCGACAAAGCCAAACCCACGGGCCCGUCGAGCAGUGCAGCAUCAUGCUGAAGACCAUUCCACUUCUGGAGGAAGUCCAGGCUGACUGUCAGAAUGCCACAUCCAAAGUAUUCAGGUACCAGAAGAUACUCCAGGGUACAUCAUUCAACAUCAUGGCUACCGCUGUGAGUAAGAGCCCCUCACUCCUGGAAGUCAUUGGGGCACAGAAAGCUGAAAGUAUUGUCAAGCUUUCUGGAUGUUCCUGGCCAAGUACAAACCUAAAUCCAAAGGAAGUGGAAAUGGGGCUGCAGCUAAAGGCCCUGAAAUUGCUGUGUGAAGCGACCAGAAAGGCAGAUGAAGAGUUCCAGUCCUACACGCUGGAGAACGUCGAAACAAGCAGCAUCACGGAGACGUACAUGUGUUUGGCAAAUUUCUGUGACAAGCUAUUGCGGCAAGAGGAGCAGGCAGAGAGUGAGAGUCAGUUUCCAGACUUUUUGACGCUGCCAGUGCAUGUGGUGAAGAGCAUGUUGAAGGCUCUGAGGAUGAAUUCGGAGGAAGCUCGCCUCAAGUUCCCACGUCUGCUCCAGAUCAUUGAGACGUACUCUUCAGAGACACUUGAAAUUAUGGCCAGAGAGAUGCCUUCUAUUCCAUGCUGGAUGCUGAUUGGUUGGAUCAGUCAAAUGGUGGCUCUGUUGGACAAACCCGAGGCGUUGGCUGUGCAGCACUGCAUCAGUCAGAUCGCUAAAAGUUACCCACAAGCCCUGGUUUACGCCCUGAUGAUCAGCAGCGAGAGCUUUGAGUUUGAGAAAUCAGUGACAGGACACUAUCAGAAAGAGUUUGUGGAAAAGCUAAGAGGAACUUUGGAUCCAAAAGGAGCAGUGCACAACUUUGUAAAUGCGUUGCAGCAGCUUACUAACCCAGAGAUGAUUUUCCGGGACUGGUGGGAUAGUUUGAAAAAUGAGCUGGAGAAGCCAGGCUUUGACAAGAAAAAGAUGAGUGACAUGUAUGAUGAGAUACAUUCGUCCCUUGGGGAUCGUAGCGCAGAAGGCCAUGGAAUGUUCCGCAAGAAGUUCAUCCAGAAAUUUGCCAAAGAAAUGGGGAGCUUGCUGGGCUCUCAAGGCAGCAAGCUGUUUGAGCAGAGGCGAGACAAAAGUUACCUCAAAAAAGUGGACGACUUGGCAAUGUCCAUGAGGGAGUUUCAGAAGGAACCAGGGAACCUGAAGGAGUAUUCACCAUGGCUGAGUGGAUUUAAAGCUGAUCCUUUCCAAAAUGAGCUGGAGAUUCCAGGCCAGUAUGAUGGGAGAUCCAAGCCAUUGCCCGAGUAUCACGCCAAAAUAACAGGGUUUGAUGAAAGGGUGAAGGUGAUGUCAUCCAUCCGACGGCCCAAGCGCCUGAUCAUUCGAGGGGAUGACGAGCGGGACCACCCGUUCCUCGUAAAAGGGGGCGAGGACCUGCGGCAGGAUCAGCGACUGGAACAGCUUUUCUCGGUCAUGAACAUUCUGUUGAGUCAUGAUGCGCCCUGCACUCACAGAGGCUUGCAACUGCGCACGUACCAAGUUAUUCCCAUUACAACCAGAAUUGGGGUUAUCGAGUGGAUGGAGAACACCUGCACGCUGAAGGAGUUCCUCCACAGCACCAUGACUGAGAAGGAGCAGGAGAGAGCCAAAGGGGCCGUUGAAAACUACAAUAAGUGGCUCUCCACUUUUUCUCAAGGCAGUAAGGACAAUUAUAUCAAACUAUAUGGUCUGGCAUACAAGAAAGCAAAACGUGCUGACACGGUCACCAGCUUCUCCAAAGCGUUGCAGUACGUUCCUGCUGAUCUCCUCAAGAGAGCUUUCCUGAAGAUGUGCAACGGUCCAGAGGCUUUUCUCUGUCUGCGCUCCCAUUUCAUCAGCUCACAUGCGCUACUGUGUGUGAGCCACUGGAUACUCGGGAUCGGAGAUCGCCACCUGUCCAACUUCAUGAUCAACACAGAGACUGGGGGGAUGAUCGGGAUCGACUUCGGCCACGCGUUCGGGUCAGCCACACAGUUCAUCCCUGUCCCGGAGCUGAUGCCGUUCAGACUUACCCAACAGUUUGUGAAUCUAAUGCAGCCUCUGAAGGAGGCGGGGCUGAUUCAGAGUGUGAUGGUCCACUCUCUCCGGGCAUACCGUGCUGAACCGGACCUGCUGCUAAACACCAUGGAUGUGUUUGUAAAGGAGCCGUCUCUGGACUGGAAGAACUUUGAGCUGAAGCAACUGAAGAAGGGAGGAACAUGGACAGAACACGUCAACACCAAAGAAAUCAACUGGUUCCCCCUGCAGAAGGUCAACUUUGCUCGCCGAAAACUGGAAGGGGCAAAUCCAGCAAUGAUCACAAGGUACUUGAUGGUUGCUCAGUCUGCCUGAAAUAAGAAAGAAAAGAGGAGAGGUUAGGCGGUCGGCUGACUAAGUUCAAAGCUGCUCAUCUGAUCCCAAGUGAAGGGCUACCUGACAUCGGACUUCAUCAUGAUCUCCUGAAUCUGCUGCAUCAUCAUGUGGUGAAGGAAGUUGAGAUGGAAAUUUCAGAACACUUGAGAAAAGCGUGCUUUCAAAGCAGACCUUUCUGUGAUUAAAGCUUUACACCUCUGUAGUCGGCCAACAUCUUGAGCAUUCGACAUGGAUCAGUGAAAGUGCCACAUGACUUCAUAAAGUGUACAAUCCCCCAGAAAAGCGACCCCAUCAAAGCAUACUUAAGAGAGAACCUUUGUGUCGAGUGUGCAUAGCAUUUAUACUGAAGGCAAGUUUCCUGCUGAGGAGCAGCAUCUAGUGUUUAAAUUUUGGGUCUCCACCCGUUUAUGAACUGCAUCAGCUUCUUCACUUGUAGUUUGCUCAACUUAAAGUCCUCAGAGAGAAUCUCGUCGCUGAGCUGCAGCAGCAAACUCCCAUCGAUCUUCUCCGAGACGAACAGAGAGACAAUGUCCUCGGGCAUGCCGAUGAACCUCAGGGACCUGGACACCUCCUCAAUGGACAGACCAGCUAGGCUGGACGGUGGCUGCCACUCUGGGCAGCUAAGAGUGGGACGAGGCCGUCACUUGUGUGGAAAAGGGAGAUUCCGCAGAGGCGCUCAGAAUUUUCUUGUCCAUCGAAGAACCAAAUUCCAAAAUCUGCUUCGACAUCGGCUGCCUCCAUGUCCUUGAUGAAGAUCUGGAUAAAGCAGAA